UCACUGGUGGGAAGAAGAAAAAGGGCCUUUUCCAUCAUGACAAUCUGUUUAUGGAAUCGUCAGAAAUUGUAGCUACUGAGUGGCGUCAGGAACUGCAUGCAACCUCAUGUCAUGAAUCAGUGAGCCUCAGGUGGCAGUUAUUCCGCAAACAGUUUUCCAGAUCGGGCCGAGUUCCACUUACUCAGACUGGCCAAUGGGUCAUCCAUCUGGGCAGGAAGGAAGAGGGUGAACUUCAAGAUGGAGUUAAAUGUUGCUAAAACAAGAAGUAAGUUCUCUAAGUCUACUGCUCACAAACAAGUCUUCUCAGAAUCUCAGCAGCCAGGUUAGGCUGGUCCCCUUGUUAUCUACCUUCAAGUACGCAUGGAAAACUUUCAGCAGGGUUUAGCUGGUUAAUUUUACCAAACAGCUUCCUUCCGCCCCUGUCCCAGAGGAGAGCCUAGCAAUCAGAGUGAAGUGAAAAGCCAGGAACAGCCAGAAUUCAGCCAGCCAAUUGCAGGCUUGUGACAUACCUCAGACCUGCUUUCCAGUGAGGCUGCUUCUUCACAACUUUCUUUUAUAGGAUUUGAGCCAUGCUGUUUGGAAGGAGCGAUUUCGUCUUCUCUCAGAGCGAUGACGCUGCACCACUUUCGGCAUAUCCUGCUUCCCCCAUUUACCUGGGUGGAUGCCGUUGCUGCUGCUGGGGUUGCUACUGCCUGCCUGCCUGCCUGCUUGCCUGCAUUUCAGCCUGGCUCGUACUAUAGGAGAGAAUCACUCGUCGGCAUGUGAAUUCACAGACACGAUGAAAUCUGGGCAGGGCAUUGCUGCCAGAAUAGAAGAAAUGUGCGAUGCGGGGUUUAUUUUUCUCUUCCCCCCCAAAACAUGCAAAAUGUAAGUUAAAGGUUUGGGGAGCCAAUGUUUAAAGAACGACAGUGCCAGGUAAUCCUUUGUAUAGAACAAGGGCAUCGACAGCAAUCCACUAUGCACGGAAAGGGCAUCAACAGGAAGAAUCCAACCACUGCUGCUUGAAGGGAUUAUUAUGGGGAAAGCCAUGGUGAUACAGCGUUUCACCUCAGAGGAGAGCUGUGCUGGAGAUGGAUAAAUAAAUUGUUUGAUAUGUGUGCCUGUCAGAGCCUAGCCAUGGGAGGAAACGAGUGGAAGGGAGCAAGCCAGCAAAAGACAAGGAAGAAGAAAGGCUGUGUGCCGUUUGCUUGUCCGAUUCUGUGUCUGUUCAUUCCAGCAAUGAUGCUGGCAUAAUUUGCAGAACUGUGUCUGGAUGGAGGGACUCUGAAUUGUAAUCUACACACUCCCUAACGUGAUCAUGGAGGAAACGAAAGGUGUAUGUGGCUUAAAGAAAGAAAGAAAGACACAAACACCUUGUGGGGAAAAAGAGAAGUGUGUACAAUAUAAAUGUUAUGUCUGUGUUUGUGCAUAUGUGCCUUGAGAUAGAUAGUUUUCUGAUUCAGGAACGCAUAGGAAACCUUUCAGGCUGUAAGAUCGGGUUUGGUUUUGGUGUGCUAUUUCAACUACCUCGUACCAUAUAUGUUCUUCCGGAAUGAACAAUUGUCUUGUUUGAAACAGAUACAUUUGGAGAAAAGUUUCUGGAAAGUGUCUGUCUUUUUCUGUUUUUAACACCUUGAAACAUUGACUUUUCCAUAUGGUCCAGGAAAGAGCUGGUGUGUGAUGUUGUUUUUUUUUCCUUCCUUCAUCUUUAAAAUCUUUAUAAACACAGUUGUACUCAGUCUAAUUGGAAAAAAAAAGUCUGUAUUGUAAAUAGAAGUGUGGCCAAUCUAAUCAAAAUAAAUUA